rnacentral:lncRNA from 1 species
UUCUGAAGAUACCUUUAUUUUGAAUACAAAAAUUAGGAGUUGUACUCCCUGCACACAACAGAAGUUCUGGAAAAUAUAGGUAAGGUAUUCUGUUUCCUUUUUUCUUUAUAAAAAUAUAGUCUGGCAGCAAGCUCUGGUGAGAUUGUUUUGGAUGUUCACAAAAUUCCCUGGGUUCUCUUUCUGUCCUUACAGAGUAUGUUAAGAGAACUACUGAUGUUCCAGAUGGAACUUGUGUGGCCUAGGCAGCAAAAAGAGACAAGCAAAGAAAAAGUGACUGCCCCAGGGGUGGGCAGCAGAAAGAGGGCUGCACCAGCCCCGUCUGACUCCUUGUAAAGCAGCUUCUGUGGAAGACCACACAAUAGUUUCUAUUUAUGUUUCAAAGACAACUAGUGUGUCAUAAACUCAUCUAAAUGGACUCCCACCUGUGAGGUUCUAGAAUAAAAAAAACAAUUGAAUAACCAGUACCGCAGGUGCAAAUAUUACUCUCAUACAAUCACCAACAUUUAUUUUUAGAAAAUUGCAUUGCUUUGGUGUUUUAGGGAAACAUUUAUAAAUCACUAUGUUAAUAAAUUCUAAUAUAACCAGAAGAAAAACAGCUAGUGUGUUCAGCUCCACUAACACUAACACAGAGAUGUUUAUGGCUCCAAAACCAAAAAGACCUGCAGACAGACAGGAAGGAAAUUAAGGUAUUGCUGAUUCAUUUGUACCAACUGAUUCAAUUUAUGAAUUUACAUUCAUUAUAUUAUUCUGCUUAAUAACUUUAUGUUGACAUGUAUAAGCACUGGUUCCUAAACUAUGUAUCUUUCUCUUAAGAAAAAUGCAAAGGGUGGAAAGGAAAGAGGCUUAUAUUUUUGUGCUUUGAUUCACUAAGCAUUAGAGAAAGAAAGAAAAUACAGCAUGAAGCAAAAACGUAAUCUGAUUUGAAGUUGGUAUUCUCUGCCUAGCAAUUCCAACUAGCAAAGCAAUCUACUGACUCAAAAUAGUACCCUUCUUAAAGAGGAAACUGGAAUUUGUGUACAUGUGGGUAUUUAUGUAUGUAUUAUGUAUCUACAUAUGUAUCUAUAUAUGUAUAUAUAUGUAUAGUAUAUUCAUUUAAAAUAUAGGCAUAUGUUAUGCACAGGUGUCUUGAACAUCUCAUUUAACAUCUCAAACAUGUAUUUCCUUCUAAAAUAGGUGCUUGUAUUUUAGGUGGCUUUAUUUGUUUGCUUUACUUUUGCUAAAGAACACUACCCACUCCUUGAGGCAAAUCCUUCCAUCAGGAGGAGACUGCUCAGUAUUUUAUGUAGGGGAAACCUCGAAAUGUUUAUCAUCACAGGAAUGAAUUAGUUCAUCAAACUAUUUCCAUUGAAAAUAUUUGAUCAACUUAGUCUCAUACAAUCAUUUUAAUCUCAGUCAUUCUAAUAUUUGAAUUUAGUAAUUGCUGAGUCUACUAUAUUUUAUAAAAGUACCAUUGAACAUAUUAUAGCAAAUUAAAUAUUUUUCUAAUUGAAUAGCUAUUUUGUCAAUUUGUAUCUAUUUAUCAGCUAUAAUACAUGAUAAGACAUUAACUUAUAUAUGUUAUAUAAAACUGACCGCAGAGGUCCCCAAGCUUCAGCGGGAGCACACAUUUGUAUUCUCAAUGCUUGCAACAGUUGGUGGGCAAUUAUAAUCUCAUGUAGUAAGUUUUGCAACAGAAGCAAACGAUCUGAACCUUGAUUUUCUGAAAUAUAAUUUGAGUAGGGAAGGUUGAGGGGAAAUAUUUAGACAUGGCCAAACUCAACAUCUUGGUUCCACAAAAGUGAGUAAACACACACACACAUACACACACACACACACACACUUUCACUUGGGCCUGCUACUCUAACACAACUGAAGUGGAUGAUGAUGAUUAUUUUUCCUAAACUAAUUACUUUUUGGAGUUCCUUAGUGGAAUAGGUAUGAGAGUUACACUCAGUCUUUUAAAAGGGCUUUGGAUUCUUCUCAGCUCUUCAAAAAAUAUGUUUACACAAUUGUUUUGAAUAAAUAUUAAAUCAAUGUACUAUGCUAGUUUCUAAGAGAUGAAAACUAAAAAUCAUUUAAGUGCAAAUAUUUUAUUCUUCUGACUUUGGAAGAGUAACCAGGUCUUUUUUAAAGCUGAUAUGCAGCAUGGAGUAUGUGUGAGUGAGCAUAUGUACCUGAACAUGCAUACCUGUGGUAGGGGUUGUGGGGAGGAGGAGGUUUAUAUUUCCUGUUAUUUUUUUUUUAAAUCCCUUUAAAAAUGUGGUAUACUUGCAGAAGCUAUUGAUGUUUCUUGCACCUCUCAUUUUAAAAGAAUGUAGAGCUCCUGCUUCCUGAAAAAGAAAAAGUUCUAGGAAUGCUUUCUAACAUCUUUGAAGAUGCUUCAAUCUGGCCACUGGAUUAGUUUUUAUUUGAGGGAGGCAGUACCUGCUGUGGACGCCUACAAGGCUGGACAGAUGGAGAGGAGCAGACGUAGACUGGGUGAUUUGGACAUGGUGCCUCGCUGUUAAAAUGAGCCCUUCACACUUCUGUGAUCAGGGUACUGUGAGAAUGCAAAGUCAGUAUAUGUGAAGUGCGCACCCCAGUGAGUGUCCUGAAAGUACAAGCAACCACUAUCAUUUAGUCAUUGAAAAAUACCUUGUUAGUUAUCCCUCUUUCAUUAAUUGACUUUGUUUAAUUAAAAUCAACUGAAGUAUAAGAAAAGAAGCAAACUUCUAGUAUGAAAAGGAAAUGACCAUUGCAACAGGCCCCAUCCAUUUCCACAAUGUUAUUUACAAAUAUUCCUUAAAAUUUCAAGUAAUUUUUUUUCUUACCCAGGGUGUAAUUCAGAAAGUAAUGAAUAUUAAAUAGAUAUAACUGACAAAAUAUUAGCU